rnacentral:rRNA from 1 species
GACGAACGCUGGCGGCGUGCCUAAUACAUGCAAGUUGAGCGCUGAAGGUUGGUACUUGUACCAACUGGAUGAGCAGCGAACGGGUGAGUAACGCGUGGGGAAUCUGCCUUUGAGCGGGGGACAACAUUUGGAAACGAAUGCUAAUACCGCAUAAAAACUUUAAACACAAGUUUUAAGUUUGAAAGAUGCAAUUGCAUCACUCAAAGAUGAUCCCGCGUUGUAUUAGCUAGUUGGUGAGGUAAAGGCUCACCAAGGCGAUGAUACAUAGCCGACCUGAGAGGGUGAUCGGCCACAUUGGGACUGAGACACGGCCCAAACUCCUACGGGAGGCAGCAGUAGGGAAUCUUCGGCAAUGGACGAAAGUCUGACCGAGCAACGCCGCGGGAGUGAAGAAGGUUGUCGGAUCGUAAAACUCUGUUGGUAGAGAAGAACGUUGGUGAGAGUGGAAAGCUCAUAAAGUGACGGUAACUACCCAGAAAGGGACGGCUAACUACGUG